rnacentral:rRNA from 1 species
CUACGGGGUGCUGCAGUGAGGAAUAUUGCGCAAUGGGGGAAACCCUGACGCAGCGACGCCGCGUGGAUGAUGAAGGCCUUCGGGUUGUAAAAUCCUGUCAGAUGGGAAGAAUUGUUCCAUGUCUAAUAUAUGUGGGACUUGACGGUACCGUCAAAGGAAGCACCGGCUAACUCCGUGCCAGCAGCCGCGGUAAUACGGAGGGUGCAAGCGUUGUUCGGAAUUACUGGGCGUAAAGCGCGCGUAGGCGGUUUGUUAAGUCAGAUGUGAAAGCCCAUGGCUCAACCAUGGACGUGCAUUUGAUACUGGCAGACUUGAGUACUGGAGGGGGUGGUGGAAUUCCCGGUGUAGAGGUGAAAUUCGUAGAUAUCGGGAGGAAUACCGGUGGCGAAGGCGACCACCUGGCCAGAUACUGACGCUGAGGUGCGAAAGCGUGGGGAGCAAACAGGAUUAGAUACCCCAGUAGUC